AAAAAAAAAAAAGCUAUUUUGUCCCAUUGAUCUCAGGACUAAUUUGACUUUCUAGAGUACCAGCAUUAGUUCUGGGAAUAACACAUUAAAAAAAAAAAAAGUAGUGGAUAAGGAAAGAGCAAAAAAUUGUAAAGAAGUAAAAUUCAAAAGAAAGAAUGAAAGAACCUAGAGAAAAAUCUAGGGAUGGGGUAGAGUUCAGGGUGUUAGAGUUGAAUUCCAGUGUUAGGAGAUGAAAGGCCGAACCCCAUUCUUGAAAAUCAAGUCCAAGUGUUCCUGCUCCCCAUUAGAAAGAAACAGAAGCCACGA
rnacentral:lncRNA from 10 species